rnacentral:rRNA from 1 species
UACGAAUCGUGCGAACGUUGUUCGGAAUCACUGGGCUUAAAGGGUGCGUAGGCGGGCGGGCAAGUCCGUGGUGAAAUCCUCCAGCUUAACUGGAGAACUGCCAUGGAUACUAUUCGUCUCGAGGAAGAUAGGGGCGUGCGGAACUUGUGGUGGAGCGGUGAAAUGCGUUGAUAUCACAAGGAACUCCGGUGGCGAAGGCGGCACGCUGGGUCUUUUCUGACGCUGAUGCACGAAAGCCAGGGGAGCAAACGGG